UACUCGUGACCCGUUAGAUUUAGUGCCAAUUAGAGCCUUCAAUGGGAAAGGAAAACGUGUAGGCGUGGAUAUGGUGCAAGACAGAUACAUUAUUUGGAGGAUGGGACGGUUCAGAUAUAUAGCAGAGAUGCUGAAAGAAUAUGUAAUUGUUCCCUGAUGUUGUUGCUGUUGCAAGAGUUAAAAAAACCUAGUGUAACAUCAUGUCAUUUCAUGUGACAUGCACUUUCAUGGGCAGCCACAUCUGAAGACUUUCAACGGGAAAAUGAACUACAUUCCCUACAAGAAAUAGAUAAGUUCAGAGAGGGAGUUAAAUCUGGAUGGACUGCACCGGGUACUCCACAGCUCCACUUAACAAAUUCCCAGACCGCACAGGAUGAGCUGAAGCAUAUGAUCUGAUGGAUGCUCAUAUUCAACAACUUGAUCAGUAUCUUAAAAAACUAGAAGGGAAACGCCGUGAAAAGGAAAAUGCUGUAAUGCUGGAUCACCUGUUUUGGAUGCUGAUGGCAAUGGGUACUCUGUAACGGAAGGUGGUAGAGUGAAAAAGUAAUUAUCAGAUAAACGAGCAUUUCCUUAAAACAUAGGGUUAAUUACUAAUAAUUACGAGUAUAAUUUAUAAUCACCAAUUCCCCAAAGUAUAUUGGGCCAUUCCUGGUAUUAUAAAAAUUGGUGAAGGUUGCUUGUAGAUUGGAUUUACCACCAGUUAUGCAUCCUUUUUAUAUAAGAGUUGUGUAUCCACUUGUUUAAGAUGUCUUGUGCAUCCAAAGAACUAUGCAUUCAAAUUAA